CAUACUUAGAGCCUUUGCCAUUAACCGAGAAAAUCUUUCGCCUUUUACUAAAGAUUUCCGUGCAAAGGUGCGUUUUGUUGUAUCGACAGUCAUCACAGUGACUUACGAACAGAACGUGUGU
rnacentral:snRNA from 1 species